UUCACGAAGCGGCCGCGCACUCCGCGCGCGAUGGAUUCAACGUCUCAACGAAUUUCUCCUCCAAUAAACGGAAAGAAUUGUUCCUUGUAUCUUAUCGGGAUUCUUGUUAGUGCGGAAUUUUGGCCUCGAAUCGAGUCGAUCGAAUGCGACAAGUACCGUCAGACGGAGUACUAUCUGUGUCAUUUUGAAAUCAGAAACCGACAUAUUUGGCACCAUGGACGAUACCAACGGCAAUUGUGAUUAGCGAUUACUUUUCAAUUAAUCAGAGCAAAGCAGUCACACCGAUUGAGAUUAGUGAUUGCUGUUUAGAUAGAAUCGCUAUUGUAAUUUGGGCCCAUUCUACAAUACGUCUCUUUCGGUCAUUAGAUGCGGGCGGUUUCUGCGGAUUUAAAUUCUAAUCCGCCCGAACAACUUGGGAGAGAAGCGAUUUGAAGAAGGCUGGUUAAUUUCGCUGGACGGCAGCGAACUCUAGUGCCGACGCCUUGGCGAGGAGGCCCCCGAAGGAAUUUGUAAAUUCGACUCAGAUGGAACUUUUAAUCGUCCAUCAGGGAAGAAACGAGGAGUACGGAAACUUUUCGCAUAAUAAUUCUUUCGUUCCAACCAACGGUGAAUUCCCCACCGUUAUAUUCGCUUGGAGCAAAUGGUCGGGAAUGUUUUCCACGUGUGCAUCCGAACGCAUUACCUUAUGGUGAACAGAUGUUGCAGACACACUUGGGAAAUCAGCCGUUUCUCGUUCCGCACUUGAUAAAUGCUGCGCGGAAAAGUGGGUUCGUGGAUAAUUGCGGUUCUUCUUGCUGCAUAAUGAAAAAUCCGAAUUACCUCACUGUACGAUUGCAGAUCCGUACUAAGCUGGAACCCCUACCAACAUAGGUUCGAAUUUAUUAAAAAAUUUAGUAUGUGUGUUAAUAAUUUGUCAUUCUAUUCCCAAUUUUGUAGCUAAAAUAUUUAUUUCAAGUCUUUCUUAAGCAAUCAAUAAUCUGCACUUAUUAUUCUAUCAUAGUCUGUUUUAUUUGUCUUUAGUUUGUUUUUAAAUACCUAACUACUGACUAUACAUUGAUUAUAUCUUGAUAUUCUUAUAUAUUGCCUUAUAAAAUAAAAAGAUCAUCCAUAUAAAAAUUA